AGAGAGCCUGGGAUUCAAAAUGCAGUUGGAACACGGAUCACUUGAAAGAAACCUCUUCAGGGGAAAGAUUUGGAAUGAAAUUAAGAGAAAGGGCGGAGGAGAGAGGGAGAACCCGCCCGGAUAGUGCAGAACAAGCAGUAACAAAGCAAAGUCCGAGGGAGCUUAACGCUCAACCCCAGGCCAGGCUCCAGCGCUGAAGUUCUCCUAACUCAUCCUAAGAAUAGGUCAAAGAAACCAAGCCAGGGGCCGUGCCCUGCCCCCGUCCUGCGGGCCAGGUUGGGGGAGGGGAGGUUUCUCCAGCGAUCGGAAGCUCAAGGGCUCUACCCCUGGACCCUGAGCGGCCCUUGGCUGGGGGAGGGGUCCGAACCGUCGCCAAGCCUGCCAGACCCUCCGGCUAGAAUGGGGACCCGCAGUCCAUCUAAGGCUGGUGGGGGCGCACUGGGGUCGCAGAGGGCGACGCUAGUAGUCUGGACCCAGAGGACUGCAGGAGGGAGACCGUGAGGAAGUGUCUGUGACUGGGAAGCCCCAGCUCCGGCUCGGGCAGGGCAGCCAGCACCUACCUGAUCCCAGGGAACCGGAGUCCGGCGGCGGCAGUCACGUAAUGAUCGGGUAUCAGAAAAAGACGUCAGCAUCCUAGUCCCUCAAGGAACAUAUUAACUAUUCUGUGCUGUCCUCUUGGAUGAUAAGAUCCGGAGUCAUCGACUUCUCAUAAACACCUUUCACUCAUACAAUCCAAUUUUUAAGAAGUCCAAUUAUUUUGAUGGUUUUCUAUUUCACUCAUUUCUCAAGGACAGGUAAAGGAUUUGUAGAAUUUUGAAGAUGGCAAAAGUUAUGUUUUUAACUAUGCAAUUACGAUUUCUCUUUACUUUUUCAUCAAGCCCCAGCAAUCAGAGCUCUGGCCUCUGGAAUUAAACAUCAUCAAGCUCUCCUAUUAAUAAAUUUAAUUUAGAUCUCCCAAUUUCUUGCGUAUGUUCUUUCAGAUAGACCAUUAAAUGUAGAAGUCGUUUGUUUUUAAAAGGAAGUCUUUGAGGAUUUUUCAGUAAAUCUCUCCCGAGUCUGGCUGCCAUUGACAGUCCUGCUAUGAGUAGAUUGAUAAGAGCUCAAGCUGCCUCCGGAGCGCGGCCUGUAGAGCUGUCCAGACUCCGGGUGCUGAAGAGUUCCGUCACAGAUGCUACAAACGUUGAAAAUUACCACUGGUUUAAUUUUUCACCAGAGCCUCUAAAUUUGAAGAUUUGGCAGUAGUACUAUUAACGUGGCAAUUCGUCGCCUAAAUCACCCCACCAUUCAGAUACAUCCUUUCUCCCUGUGUAGUGUCCAUAAAUGCCCUAAUACUGAGAAUGCUCUCCAUCCCUGUCUGGAUUUGAGGAAAAAGCAUUCUGUUCCCCAUUAGUCCUGGGUUUUGGAUCUCUAGACAGACUGACUGGCUACCUUCACCCCUUCUGUGGCUCUUACAGAUUCUAAAAAUUGAUGUUGUAAAAUUGUGCUUUCCACAAGAAAUGAAAUUUUAAGAAUUUGAGGGUGAGAAAUAUCUUUUUCCACUUUGUUUACAACUUGAGCUCUGUUUGGGAAAGAGACAGACUGGGAAAGCAUGAAGGUUCCCAGUACAAGUUCACUUGCUGAAGGUUUCUAACAGGAAUCCCUGCACUGGAAACAAUUAGAUUUGUUUUGACUGAAAAUGAUGUGGGAAGAGGGAAGCAAUAAGGGAAGACCAUAUCCACCCAGAGGCUUCAAAGUUCCUGGGUAAUUUAAGAAGAUUCAUAUAUUUCUACUCCAGUAAGAGAACUCAAGUCUAUUUUUUUAAAGGAAAUAGAGCCAUCAAUAACCAUUAGUGUGCAUUUUAAUUAUUUGGAUCUUACACAAAAAUUAGGGAAAAUUCCAGUUUAAUGGGAGAGUUUCCUGUUACUAUGAUUUGGAUCUAACAUUUAAAUAAGCUAAUUAGUUCUGCAUGCUUUUCCAAGAUAUAAUAUUUCUCAUUCUAAAUGCUGUUCCCGCUCUUAUUUGAGAUUUAAUACUUCCUCAUUCUUAAGAAAACUAAGUUUUGUUUAUUCCUGGCCAUAAAUGACCGAAAACUGUCUGCUUCCUCUUAGUUUAUUCUUGGCUGUGCUUCAGAUUGCCUGCCUUUACUAAAGCUUCAAACCACA